rnacentral:lncRNA from 1 species
ACAUUAUGAGUUUCAUCAUUUGUACAUGGAUGUCGUGACAUGGCUCAGUCUGUAGUCAUGAGGCGCAUGGUCGGAUUUUGCUCCCAUCACACGUGUGGUGGUUAUCGACGUCCAUUUUCUUUGGUGAAAGUGUAAUCUAGGUCUCAUCUCUCAAUUCCUAGAAAUCAACAAAUUUGAUUUGCAAGACAAGAAGAUUGGGCAAGAUAGAGCUUAGGUAAUUAAUGAAGGAGAGAUGGAGGUAAGAGGUAGGUGGGAGGAGGAAAACCCUCCUUAAUUAGUCCCAUUCCAAAUUGACAUGCUAUGCGCAAAAACAUACACGAGCACUACAACCGCACCAUGCACUAGACACUAGAUGAUGCAGCCAUAGUCGUAGAACUGUCGUGACCACUUGUAUUGUUGGUUGUUACGAGAAUAACCAGAACAACUGCACACCCAUUGUAACAUCCGUGAUGCUUAGCUACAGUGACCCCAUUUUAAUGAUGCUAUGUCAUCCUGUUUUGCAAGCUUAAUUGCCCCGUGAUAAAACCAAACUCAAAUUCAAAUUCAAAUUGCAAGUCAAAAUUCUUAUUUGUUAAAAUAGUAAAACAAAAGUGUUGGGUGUGUUGCAAAUAUUAACUAAGAAAUUUU